rnacentral:rRNA from 1 species
AACGAACGCUGGCGGCGCGCCUAAUACAUGCAAGUCGAGCGAGAAGACGUAGCAAUACGUUUGUAAAGCGGCGAACGGGUGAGGAAUACAUGGGUAACCUACCCUCGAGUGGGGAAGUAACUAGCCGAAAGGUUAGCUAAUACCGCGUACGCUCCUUGGACUUCGGUUCAGGGAGGAAAGACGAUACCGUGGGUAUCGCGCUCUUGGAUGGGCGUCAUGUCCUAUCAGCUUGUU